rnacentral:tRNA from 10 species
GGGCUAUUAGCUCAGUGGUAGAGCGCGCCCCUGAUAUGGGUGCGAUGAUUUACUUCACGGGCGAGGUCUCUGG